rnacentral:rRNA from 1 species
UACGUAGGGGGCUAGCGUUGUCCGGAUUUAUUGGGCGUAAAGCGCACGCAGGCGGCACGGCAAGUGGACGGUGAAAUCCUCCGGCUCAACCGGAGAACGGCCUCGGAUACUGGCGGUCUCGAGGGAGGUAGGGGCGUGCGGAACUAAGGGUGGAGCGGUGAAAUGCGUUGAUAUCCUUAGGAACUCCGGUGGCGAAGGCGGCACGCUGGACCUCUUCUGACGCUGAGGCGCGAAAGCCAGGGGAGCAAACGGG